GGCUAACGCUGGCGGCGUGUCUUAGCCAUGCAAGUCGAGCGGACUUAUGGGGUAACUUAUAAGUCAGCGGCGGACGGCGGAGUAACACGUAGCUAACCUACCCUCUGGACGGGGAUAACCUACCGAAAGGUGGGCUAAUACCCGAUGUAGUCAUCCUGUAUAGGGGUGAUGAAAGGUGGGCUUCUGUUUACAAGCUCAUGCUGGAGGAGGGGGCUGCGGCCUGUCAGGUAGUUGGUAGGGUAAUAGCCUACCAAGCCGAUGACGGGUAGCCGGCCUGAGAGGGUGACCGGCCCGAGGGGCACUGAGAUACGGGUCCCACUCCUACGGGAGGCGGCAGGCUAGAAAUUUGGGCAAUGGGGGAAACCCUGACCCAGUGACGCCGCGUGCAGGAAGGAGCCCUUCGGGGUGUAAACUGCUGUCGUGUAGGGAGAAGGGUACUAAGGUGAACAAUCUUAGUACUUGACGGUACUACAGGAGGAAGCCCAGGCUAACCUCGUG
rnacentral:rRNA from 1 species